AUGAGAGUGCUGCAGCGUGGGCAUGCUGAGGAGCGUGACACCAGUCCGGUGUCAUUUGUACCGGUUUCACGCAUCUGGCCUCCAGUGCGCCUCACCAGUCCGGUACGUCCUGUGUCUCCUCCACGCACUCGCCCUGAAGUGUGUGUCACAGUUCCGGUACAAUUUGUGCUGGCUCUACGCACCAAGUCUCCAGUACGCCUUCACAGCCCAGUACAUCCUGUGCCAGCUCCCCGCACUCGCCGUGCGAAACGUGUCAUCGUUCCGGUACAAUUUGUGCCGGCUCUACGCACCAGGUCUCCAGUGCGCCUCCACAGUCCGGUACGUCCUGUGCCAGCUCUCCGCACUAACCCUGAAGAGCGUGUCACCAGUCCGGUGCAACCUGUCCCAGCCCCACGCAUCAGGCCUCCAGUGCACUGUAAUGUACUUGUCCUCUCCCCAGUCCGGUACAUCCUGUGCCUGCUCCAUUCACUCGCCCUGAAGAGCGUGUCACCAGUCCGGUGCAACCUGUGCCGGCUCCACGCAUCAGGCCUCCAGUGCACCUCCCCAGUCCGAUACGUCCUGUGCCUGCUCCUUGCACUCGCCGUGAAGUGUGUGUCAUCAGUCCAGAGCCUCCGGCGACGGUCCCCAGUCCGGAGCUUCCGGAGACGGUCCCCGGUCCUGAGCCUCCGGCGACUGUCCCCGGUCCGGAGCUUCCGGCAACGGUCCCCGGUCCAGCGCCUCUGGCGACGGUCCCCGGUCCGCAGCCUGGUCCCCGGUCCGGAGCCUCCGGCGACGGUCCCCGGUCCGGAGCCCCCGGCGACGGUCCGCGGUCCGGAGCUUCCAGGUACGGUGUCCUGUCCCGCUCCAGGGCAGGAGCCUUCCUCUGCCCCGAUUUCCAGUCCAGGCACAGCAUCCAGUCCCGCUCCAAGGCCGGAGCCUUCCUCUGCGCCGGUGCCCAGUCCAGGCACGGUGUCCAGUCCAGCUCCAAGGCCGGAGCCUUCUUCUGCACCGGUGCCCAGUCCAGGCACGGCGGCCAACUCAGCUCCAAGGCCUUCCCCUGCACCGACGCCCAGUCCAGGCACGGCGGCCAACUCAGCUUCAUGGCUGGAGCCUUCCUCGGCGUCGGUGCCCAGUCCGGGUACAGCGUUCUACCCGGCUCCAUGGCCGGACCCGUGGUCUGGGCGGGGGCAAAGACCCGCACCGGAGCCGCCACCGACACUAGUCACCCCCCCUACCCUCCCCAGUUGGUUUCAGGUUUUGCGGCCGGAGUCUGCACCUUUGGAAGGGGGGUACUGUCACGCCCUGACCAUAGAGAGCCUUUUUAUUCUCUAUUUUGGUUAG
rnacentral:lncRNA from 8 species